rnacentral:rRNA from 1 species
GGAAGUAAAAGUCGUAACAAGGUUUCCGUAGUGAUCCUUCGAAGCCUGUCACACAACGACUCUAAGCAAUUGUGUGCAGUCCUUGAACUGUUAUGAUUAAGGGCCACGUCACCAAAGUGCUGGAAUACAACGUUCUGUAAAUCAGCAGCCAAACAGCAGAAACUGUCCCGUUUGGUUCACAGAUUAAGCUAGUGACGGUCAGUGAGAAGAUACCAAGAUCAAGGAAUAUUGCGGUUGAGAAUAUAGAAAUGUGUUUUGUGUGCUGAGAACUGUGGAAAAUCCUCGGGACCCCAAUUCUAUACUGGACUGCAUUUCCCUGGGUCUUGAAAUGGUAUCGUCAUUGGUUAAGAUAUAAUCGGUCUCGAUGUCACUCAUCGAGAUGACGCGUUCCGUAGGUGAACCUGCGGAAGGAUCAUUA